rnacentral:rRNA from 1 species
AUUGAACGCUGGCGGCAGGCCUAACACAUGCAAGUCGAACGGUAACAGGAAACAGCUUGCUGUUUCGCUGACGAGUGGCGGACGGGUGAGUAAUGUCUGGGAAACUGCCUGAUGGAGGGGGAUAACUACUGGAAACGGUAGCUAAUACCGCAUAACGUCGCAAGACCAAAGAGGGGGACCUUCGGGCCUCUUGCCAUCGGAUGUGCCCAGAUGGGAUUAGCUAGUAGGUGGGGUAACGGCUCACCUAGGCGACGAUCCCUAGCUGGUCUGAGAGGAUGACCAGCCACACUGGAACUGAGACACGGUCCAGACUCCUACGGGAGGCAGCAGUGGGGAAUAUUGGACAAUGGGCGCAAGCCUGAUGCAGCCAUGCCGCGUGUAUGAAGAAGGCCUUCGGGUUGUAAAGUACUUUCAGCGGGGAGGAAGGGAGUAAAGUUAAUACCUUUGCUCAUUGACGUUACCCGCAGAAGAAGCACCGGCUAACUCCGUG